rnacentral:rRNA from 1 species
CGCGGUAAUUCCAGCUCCAAUAGCGUAUAUUAAAGUUGUUGCAGUUAAAAAGCUCGUAGUUGAAUUUUGGGUCUGGCCGGGCGGUCCGCCCUCCGGGUGAGCACUGUUCCGACGCCGGGCCUAUCCUUCUGGAGAGUCGGCAUGUCCUUUAUUGGGUGUGCCGGGGAACCAGGACCAUUACCUUGAAAAAAUUAGAGUGUUCAAAGCAGGCGUAUGCUCGGAUACAUUAGCAUGGAAUAAUGAAAUAGGACGCGUGGUGCUAUUUUGUUGGUUUCUAGAACCGCCGUAAUGAUUAAUAGGGAUAGUUGGGGGCAUUAGUAUUCAAUUGUCAGAGGUGAAAUUCUUGGAUUUAUUGAAGACUAACUUCUGCGAAAGCAUUUGCCAAGGAUGUUUUCAUUAAUCAAGAACGAAAGUUAGGGGAUCGAAGACGAUCAGAUACGAUC